UCUUAUGGGUGAGUAAAGAAAGUGGCUUCUUGAGAUGGAAUCUGCCCCUGAUGAAAACUCUAUGAA
rnacentral:pre_miRNA from 1 species